AAAUGGUACUUUUCCUUAUAUGUGUGUACAAGUAUGUCUACUUAUUUGCUUGACAGAUUUCCUUGGUUAAAGUUUCAUUUACCUAGUCUGCAUUGUAUACAUUAUACUAUUUUGUUUCCUUAUGUGACGAUGCCAUACUCUGUGAUUCUUUUCCUUUAAAAACAAGGGACUGUUUAAUACCGUUUGACUAUGAUUCCUUCAUCAAAGGGAGUCCCUAUGCUUAUUUGAUUCUGAUUGAUAUCAGUUCCUUAAAUAGGGAUUGACACCUUAUUUGAUUACUCGUUUUAGUACUAUAAAUACUCCUCACUUCCCUCUUUGAAAAACACAAUACACACUGCUCUC
rnacentral:lncRNA from 1 species